rnacentral:rRNA from 1 species
AACAACUCACCUGCCGAAUGAAUUAGCCCUGAAAAUGGAUGGCGCUUAAGCGGAUGACCGACACCAUGUCGUUUGAACAAUAUAAAGUUCAAAUGAGUAGGAGGACGUGGUGAUUGUGGCGAAGUAUAUAUGCGAAUAUAUAUUGAACGAUCACUAGUGCAGAUCUUGGUGGUAGUAGCAAAUAUUCAAGCGAGAUCCUUGAAGGGCGAAGUGGGGAAGGGUUCCACGCUAACAUUGAUUGGGCGUGGGUGAGUCGUUCCUAAGCCGAGUGGCAAUUGCUAAGUAUUGGCGAAAGGGAAGCGGGUUUACAUUCCCGCACACGGAUGUGGAGGCGGUGACGCUUUAUUGAGGUGAACACGUUGGCGAUGGCGCUGGGCAGAGUUGUCUUUUCUGUUUGACCGUUUGUAUAUAUGGUGUGGAGUCCGUUUGUUGGGAGAAACACAUAUAUAUGGGCAGAGCGUCGGGGCUUAUCCGACGUCCAGCUCGCCAUCGACGACCCUUGAAACUUUGCCUACUGAUAUAAGAUCCACGCCGUGGCGUACCGAUAACCGCAUCAGGUCCCCAAGGUGAACAGCCUCUGCUCAAUAUGAAAAAU